AGAAUUAAGUCGUACGUCGUGCGGAGCAGGUUACUCGUCUCUUAUUUAUAACUUCGCGUUCUUAUAAUAUAAACAACGCUGUUUGUGCUUAGUUUCCCGUUUAACUAAAGUUUUGAACCGUGAUUUAUUCGUUUUGUAUAUGUAUUCUCUUAUAAUUGAUGUUAUUGCCAAGAUUUUGCUAAACGAACAUUGUGCACACACAUCUUGGACUUUCCCUUCGCCUGUUUUGUAUCAUUUUACCCCGGAUUUAACCAGCUCAAAGGGCUGCACAUGAAUGCUCACCACACACAUCAAAAGUAAGGUGUCUAGCAGGCGAACAAAUUGCCUUAGGACAACGAUUCUUUCAUCAGAAUGUGUCUAGCAGGCGAACAAAUUGCCCUUAGGACAACGAUUCUUUCAUCAGAAUGUGUCUAGCAGGCGAACAAAUUGCCCUC